rnacentral:rRNA from 1 species
AGAGUUUGAUCCUGGCUCAGAACAAACGCUGGCGGCGUGCUUAACACAUGCAAGUCGUACGAGAAAGUCCGCUUCGGCGGAUGAGUAAAGUGGCGCACGGGUGCGUAACACGUGGGUAAUCUGCCCUUCAGCGGGGAAUAACUCGCCGAAAGGCGGGCUAAUACCGCAUAAUACCGUUCCCACCCCGGUGGGACGGUCAAAGACAGCCUCUGUUUACAAGCUGUCACUGAAGGAUGAGCCCGCGGCCUAUCAGCUAGUUGGUGGGGUAACGGCUCACCAAGGCUGUGACGGGUAGCUGGUCUGAGAGGAUGGCCAGCCACACUGGAACUGAGACACGGUCCAGACUCCUACGGGAGGCAGCAGUGGGGAAUCUUGGGCAAUGGGGGCAACCCUGACCCAGCGACGCCGCGUGAGUGAGGAAGGUCUUCGGAUCGUAAAGCUCUGUCGGAUGGGAAGAAAUGUAUGGGAGUGAACAGCUUUCAUGCUUGACGGUACCAUCAGAGGAAGCACCGGCUAACUCCGUGCCAGCAGCCGCGGUAAUACGGGGGGUGCAAGCGUUGUUCGGAAUCAUUGGGCGUAAAGGGCGUGUAGGCGGCUGGAUAAGUCAGAUGUGAAAUCCCUGGGCUUAAC